rnacentral:rRNA from 1 species
CCUACGGGAGGCAGCAGUGAGGAAUAUUGGUCAAUGGCCGGAAGGCUGAACCAGCCAUGCCGCGUGAAGGUCAGUGCCCUAUGGGCGUUAAACUUCUUUUGUGCGGGAGCAAUAAUGGUCACGUGUGGCCAGACGAGAGUACCGUGCGAAUAAGGGCCGGCUAAUUCCGUUCCAGCAGCCGCGGUAAUACGGAAGGCCCGAGCGUUAUCCGGAUUCAUUGGGCUUAAAGGGAGCGUAGGCGGGCGUUCAAGUCAGCUGUAAAAUCGCGCGGCUCAACCGCGCCCCGCAGUUGAAACUGGAUGCCUUGAGUUCGCAACAGGCAGGCGGAAUUCGUGGUGUAGCGGUGAAAUGCAUAGAUAUCACGAGGAACCCCGAUUGCGAAGGCAGCCUGCCGGGGUGCGACUGACGCUGAGGCUCGAAGGUGCGGGUAUCAAACAGGAUUAGAUACCCCGGUAGUC